rnacentral:rRNA from 1 species
UACGUAGGUGGCAAGCGUUGUCCGGAAUUAUUGGGCGUAAAGCGCGCGCAGGCGGCCUUUUAAGUCUGAUGUGAAAGCCCACGGCUCAACCGUGGAAGGUCAUUGGAAACUGAAAGGCUUGAGUACAGAAGAGGAAAGCGGAAUUCCACGUGUAGCGGUGAAAUGCGUAGAGAUGUGGAGGAACACCAGUGGCGAAGGCGGCGAUCUGGGAAGAUACUGACGCUGAGGUGCGAAAGCGUGGGGAGCAAACAGG